rnacentral:tRNA from 1 species
UGUUCUGUGGCUUAGUUGGUUAAAGCGCCGGACUAGUGGAACGGAGUCAUGGGUUCGAAUCUCACCAAAACAA